GAUGAACGCUGGCGGCGUGCCUAAUACAUGCAAGUCGAGCGAACAGACGAGGAGCUUGCUCCUCUGACGUUAGCGGCGGACGGGUGAGUAACACGUGGAUAACCUACCUAUAAGACUGGGAUAACUUCGGGAAACCGGAGCUAAUACCGGAUAAUAUAUUGAACAGCAUGGUUCAAUAGUGAAAGACGGUUUUGCUGUCACUUAUAGAUGGAUCCGCGCCGCAUUAGCUAGUUGGUAAGGUAACGGCUUACCAAGGCAACGAUGCGUAGCCGACCUGAGAGGGUGAUCGGCCGCACGGGGACGGAGACACGGGCCAGACGCCGAAGGGAGUCGGCGGUAGGAGGUCUCCCGCAAAGGGCAGAGGCCUGACGGAGCAACGCGGAGUGGGUGAUGAAGGUCUUCGGAUCGUAAGGCUCUGUUCUGAGGGAAGAACGAAUGUGUAAGUAACUAUGCACGUCUUGACGGUACCUAAUCAGAGAGCCACGGCUAACUACGUG
rnacentral:rRNA from 1 species